AUUGAACGCUGGCGGCAUGCCUUACACAUGCAAGUCGAACGGCAGCACGGGAGCAAUCCUGGUGGCGAGUGGCGAACGGGUGAGUAAUGUAUCGGAACGUGCCCAGUCGUGGGGGAUAACGCAGCGAAAGCUGUGCUAAUACCGCAUACGAUCUAUGGAUGAAAGCGGGGGAUCGCAAGACCUCGCGCGAUUGGAGCGGCCGAUAUCAGAUUAGCUAGUUGGUGGGGUAAAAGCUUACCAAGGCGACGAUCUGUAGCUGGUCUGAGAGGACGACCAGCCACACUGGAACUGAGACACGGUCCAGACUCCUACGGGAGGCAGCAGUGGGGAAUUUUGGACAAUGGGCGCAAGCCCGAUCCAGCAAUGCCGCGUGCAGGAUGAAGGCCUUCAAGUUGUAAACUGCUUUUGUACGGAGCGAAAAGGCUCUCUCUAAUACAGGGGGCUCAUGACGGUACCGUAAGAAUAAGCACCGGCUAACUACGUGCCAGCCGCCGCAGUAA
rnacentral:rRNA from 1 species